rnacentral:rRNA from 1 species
UACGUAGGGGGCGAGCGUUGUCCGGAUUCAUUGGGCGUAAAGAGCUCGUAGGCGGCUUGAUAAGUCGGGUGUGAAACCUCCAGGCUCAACCUGGAGUCGCCACUCGAUACUGUCAUGGCUAGAUUCCGGUAGGGGACCACGGAAUUCCUGGUGUAGCGGUGAAAUGCGUAGAUAUCAGGAAGAACACCCGUGGCGAAGGCGGCUCUCUGGAACGCAACUGACGCUGAGACGCGAAAGCGUGGGGAGCAAACAGG